GAUGAAGAACGUAGCGAAAUGCGAUAAGUAAUGCGAAUUGGAGAAUUUCCGUGAGUCAUCGAAUCUUUGAACGCACAUUGCGCCCAUUGGCAUUCCGAUGGGCAUGCCUGUUCGAGCGUCAUUAUCCUCCCUCAAACCCCUGGGUUUGGUGUUGGACUGUGUGGUGCCUGGCACCACUGGUCUCAAAGACAAUGACGGCGUCCGUGGGACCCUCGGUGCAACGAGCUUUUCGAAGCACGCGUCGAGUGGACAGUCUCUCCGGGCCGGUCACCUCUCCAAUUUUUCUCAGGUUGACCUCGGAUCAGGUAGGAAUACCCGCUGAACUUAAGCAUAUCAAUAAGCGGAGGA
rnacentral:misc_RNA from 1 species